rnacentral:lncRNA from 1 species
GGUGGACCCAAUGGAAAGGGAGGGGGUUUGUCUUUCAGAUCAAACCUUACAAACAGCAAUUUUCUAUUUGUUCAAAACAGAUGUUAGGACCAUUUUCCCUCCCCAGUGCCACUUUAAGGGGCUUUUAGGGAUGACCACUGAGAGUCUGAGAUGUUCUGAGCAACACUGCCUCAUCUUUCAUCCAAAGUUGGCUGGCAAAGGAUCCAUGAGACUAUGCAAAGCACUCACCAGUGUUCCCAUGUUUUGAGAUUUGCACGCCUUUGAUAUUUUGACGGGAAAAGAGCAUCACCACAAAACAAGCCGCUAGAGGAUUAAAGGAGAUUUAUCACCCAGAAGGGUUCUAGGUAUCAUGGUUAACUGAGGUUUACUCACUUCGGAGAGAAUGCCCCAGUGGGAGAAAAUGUAACCUGAUUGGUCUUGAAAGAGAAUGCCAGCCCAAAUAAGAAUAAACAAACAAACAAAUGGACAGAGAAUCUCAGGAGGAGAAUAGAAUUAACUGGAAGGACACCACCAGGGGAAUUUGACAAAGGGCCAACAAUGGAAUUGAUUAGAUUGCUACCUGGAACAGUGGGUAGAGAAUGGAAUCUGGGAUUCUCUAGAACCUUCUACCUGAUGGAGGCCUUUCAGUGUUCUGUUUAGCCACAGAGCUGGUGCCUUUUCUGCUAGACCACCACCUAAUGAUUCCAGAGGACUCACUCCCCUAAACCAGUUACCCUCUCCCACAAGUACCCAGGGCCUUGCUAUCCACUUCUUGGAUGAAAAUAUUUGGAUCAGACUCAGACACCUUGACCCCGGUUCAGUUUUUCCUGGGGAGCGGCUGUGGCCCCCUCUGAUGCCCCCAGCUCAAUGCAUCACAGAAAGAAUUCCAGCCACUCAGCAACCUCUUGUGAUCUUCCAGGUGAGCAGGUUAACAAAUUAAAGAAUCAUUACCAUUACCAUUACCAUGUUUUCCGACUGAGCACUUCACCAUUUGGACGGGCAUUUUCUGUGUGUCCCACAUAUUCUGAGAACAAAACCAGGGGAAUGGGGACUAAAAAGAUGUAGAAAGGACAGACUCCCAGGGAACCCACUUGCAGCUGUGAGGAUGCUUCUCCUGCAGUUGUACAUAAUGCCGCAGCAAUCUCCUUCCCGUCUGAAACAAACGGAACAUUUCCCACUUGUGUUUGGAUAGUUCAAAGCCCUUACAUUAUUACUGAAUCACUUUUUUGGCUUCAUGUCUUGUAUAAAUGGACUGCGAGUUUGGAAGGCACUUGGCUUUUGUGUGUCCUAAGCCAACAGCUUUCACACUUUUUGACUGCAACCCAAGUAAGAAAUACAUUUAUGUUGCAACCCAGUAGACUCAUACCCAUAUAUGCAUGUAUGUGUACACAUGUAUGUACACAUAUAUUUCUAAGACAAAAGUAUUAUGAAGACUACGCACCCUCACUAAAUGCAAUGUAAAGGAAUUGGAGAAUGAGACAUGCGUUUUUACUCAUCCUCAUCCAAGGAGCUACAAAGCAUUGAAUUAACUUUAAACAUACUUCCACCCACUGUUGUUUGAAAUCAGAUGUUUGGCUGCUGCUGAUUAUUUCAGCAGUCCAGGGAGAAGGGUAACAGCUUGUGAUGGUGCCCACGGAAGAGAACAAUACAAGGUGUCUAGCCUGUGUGGCCCACUUUCCCUCUGGGAAUCAAUUUGAGUGCAGAGGGAAACUGACAGCAGGCCCCUUGGCGGAAUGCUGAGUCCAGGUGGCAUGGUCAUCUGUUGGUCACCUCCCAGAGACCUCAGGACAAAGAAGCCAGGGCUCUGCUGAGAAAAGCAAUUACCAUGAUCUGCCUUGGGCUGUCCCUAGAGUCCCACCUGUGGUGAGGGGCUGAGGAAGGUUGGUUCAGGGAAAAAAGACCCUGUGGAGUCUCUAAGCAGCUGUCCUUCUGGCCCGAUAAAGGUCACUGAAGGUCCUGAUAAAGCAGAGGGAAGAUGACAGGCUCUAGGGAGAGGAAAGGCAAGGAAACAUCAAUAAGAUGGGCAAAGAGACCAGAAUACUGAGGCUGGAUGGGAAGUUUCUUUUUUUU